rnacentral:rRNA from 1 species
CAAUAGCGUAUAUUAAAGCUGUUGCGGUUAAAAAGCUCGUAGUUGGAUUUCUGUCAAGGACAACUGGUCCGCCCUCCGGGUGAGCACAUAGUUUGGUCUUGGCAUCUUGCUGGAAACUGUUGCUGCACUUGGUUGUGUGGCGCAGCAUCCAGCACUUUCACUUUGAGGAAAUUGGAGUGUUUCAAGCAGGCACAUGCCUUUGGACACAGUAGCAUGGAAUAAUUAGAUUGGGCUUUUGCUCCAAUUUGUCGGUUUCUGGAGCUGAGGUGAGAAUUAAUGGGGAUUGUUGGGGGCAUCCGAAUUUAGCCGUCAGAGGUGAAAUUCUUGGAUCUGCUAAAGACGGACUACUGCGAAAGCAUUUGCCAAGGAUGUUUUCAUUGA